UUAUCCUGUAUGCUCAUGUGUAGAUUAAACCAACAAGAUAUAAUAUGUUAAUCAGAGAUCUUUAAGGGUCCCUGUAGGUGACUUUUGUUAUCUUUGUACACUGCCAAGCUAGCUGCUUAUCCUGUUUCCAGUCCUUGUGCUAAGCUAAGCUAACUGGCUAAAUUUUACAGAUAAUUGUGUGAGUGGUAUCAAUCUUUUCAUCUAACUGUCCUCCAAAAAACAAUUAAGCAUAUUUCCUUCCCAAAUUAUUGAACCCUUUCUUUUAAGCUGUAUCACUGUCUACUGGCCUGGCAUGCUGCCUUUUCAAUGAUUUUUGCACAUCAGUGUGCAUGAAGAUUGUUUUCUCAAUGUUGUCAUGUGAACGUGGAACUUUUUUAAAACACAAAGGAAAAACGUUUCAGUUUUUAGCAAAACUGUUUAUGUGUAAACAUACUAACUAAGCCCUGCCUAUCUGCUGAUGAAUUUCCAAAAUAAACUACCCACCACAUGAACACAUGAUACAUAUGGAAGAGUGGGGGGAGCAGUUUAAAGGAUAUAAUGGGUCUGAGGUUUACAGUAAAUUUGUAAUCUUGAUUUGCUGUCGAUUUGUUAUCUACUAUCUCUCCUGUUACACUAAUGGCUCUGAACUGGAGCUUAAAGGCAGUCACAAAGAUCUUGUGUUUGACCCAGACUCCUGAGCAAGAUAAAGGUGUCUGUCUAUCUAAGGACAAACCCAGCUGGGGAACCAAGCCAGUGGAGACUGCCUUAUCUUUCAUUGUCUUGCUCUUGUGGUGCCCAAGGCUAGACAAUGUGAUAGAAAGCUUGCUACAGCUCUUCUGGCACUGGGGUACUUUUCCAUUACACGCCUGAAAGUUUCUGUGCCAGCUGUAAAUUUGCCAGAGACAAGCAGGGAAGAUGCAGGCACACCUGUAGAUUACAAUGUGGCUCAUUAAUGAGAGUGAGAGAAACUUUUGUAUCAUAAUUCAAUGUUUUCUCAAAUCCUUUUCAGUGCUGCUGAACACAGAGGGAGAAAGUCCAACAUGGAGGAGGGACACUGGCAAUCAGUCCAGUUUGUCAAGGAAACGGCUUUGCAGCACAGAGGCCAUGAAUGGAUGACGAUGAUCUCUGGCUGCACAGAAGCCUCACUGGAUCACAGCUAAUGAACUCAGGCAUACUGCACCAGCUGGCUUCAAGUUCUGAGUGGAGACAAGGACGUACUCAGGGAUUGGUUGUGAGUACAAAAACAUCACAUGCUCUCGUUUUUGUUCAGAGAUGAUUUGUGUUUGAUUUAAGAGGAAUUAUGGUAAGUACAGGGGUUCUCAAGUUUUCUAAUUGAUACAAGUGCUUUUCUGGCUCAUCGGUUAUAGUGGGUGUUCUGUGGGGUAUUCUGUUAAUCAACAUACACAAAAUAACAAUUUGCACUGUAUUUAUGAUUAAUAGAAAGUAAGUAAGUUUAUUCAGUAUUUAAAUAGUUACACCUUAUCCUCCGAUAAUUCCCUGGUAGCUAUGCCCCGGGCAAGGCUGAAAACCAAGGGGGACAGGGCUUUUGCUGUUAAAGCCCCAACCCUCUGGAACUGCUUACCUCAGGAACUUAGACUAAAAACCCCACUAUCUGCCUUUAAAUUGUCUCUCAAAAUGUACUUGCAUAGUUAUUUUAUCUGUUACUUUUAUGUGUUACUUUUAUCCUUUAUUUCUACCUUUAACUGUUUUAUGUGUUAUUUUAUUGUCUUGAUUUUAACUGAUUUUGUUAUUUUAUUUAUUGUCUUGAAUAAAAUAAAGUAAGUUUUAAGAGGUACUACAUCAAUUAUUAUUAUUAUUAUUAUUAUUAUUAUUACUAUUUAAACUCAGUUAUGCAUUUUUAGCACAGCUCCAAGGAUGGCAAAGGUGGUUGAUCAGUUCACCAUUCUGGUCCAGGCAGAAAUAUCUCAACAACUAUUGAAUGGAUUACCAUGAAAUUUUAUACUGACAUUAAAGACGCCAAGAGGAUGAAUCCUAAUGACAUUCGUGAUCCUCAGACUUUUCAUCUAGCACAACCAUGAGGUCUCAUGACCAUGUCUCGACAUAGUCAGACGGUUGGCUAUGAAAUUUGAAAAUUUGGAAAUUUGGAAGUCAUUCAUGUUCCCCUCAGGAUGAACUGUGAUAACAUUUGUUAGCUAGCUAGAGCUGUUAUCAGGUCAAAAUACAUCUGAUUAUUUGGUUUAUAACCAAGUAAAUGCAAGAGUAAUUACUUUUCCAUCUGCCCCAGCUGUACUUUGUGUUUACAGCUAAAUAGCAAAUGGUGAACAUCAGCAUGUUAGCAUGUAGCAUUUAGCUCAAAGCUUGUCAUUUUAGAAGGGUUGUCUUUCAACAUGUAUACAAUAUUAGGCCAGUUUACCUAAUUCUAAAUACUGUAAAUUGAGUGUUCAUUUGCAUUAUCUCCACCAAUAUUCAACAACUGAAGUCUUGUCAAAUAGUAUUUGUCUGUAUUCUUUUAGUGAGAUGUCCAACAGGUGAUUUCCUUUAUUUUUCUCAGAAGUGAACUCACUCAUGAGGGAUUGGUUGGUGGUGGUGUUCUUUAAGGAAUAUGUCAUAAUAUCCUAACACAAAGUCUAUCACAUGUCUGCUGUGAAUGUAGUGUAAAUUCACUACAAUGAAAUAAGUUUUCAUUUGGUUCUAUUUAAAUAUUAACAGUCGAUGCAUAGCUCAGUGCAUUCUGUUAAAAACAGGAGCCAGUUUUCAUCAGAACUUAAAUCCUUCUUUUCUAUGGAGCUUUGUUGCCAUAAAUGUAUACUUAGCUCUUAAUUAUAUGGUGGCUAACUACAGAUUCCAAAAGUGAUUGCAGUAAGGAGACUUUAAUAGCUUUGUGGCUCCUCCUAUAAACUUUAAUUACAGCCGGUGUGAAUAUUGUUUUGAAAGGAUCGUUUUUCAUCCUGCUGUAAUGAAAACGUGUUGGAGGGCAGAGAGGAUAGAGUGGGACAAUAUAUCCCCUCUCUUUUCAAGCUCAGGAAGGAGGCUUCCACCACAGGGACAGUGGAUCUCUGAGGGCAGGAGGCCUCUGCAGGCGUGUGGCUCGCCACCGGCCACUGGCUCAGGGGACAGCUGUGUCGCGCUGUGGUGUUUGGCCCUGUGCCCUGAGUCAGCAGUUGCCAUAAACAAACAGUGCUGAAAGCUACUGGCCCAGUCCCCAGCUCUUUUCAAGAUGGUGCAGCAAGCUUGCUGACCUCCAACCAGUCCACUCCAUUAAGUUUCAAUAGAUUUUAACAGCACUUUGGAGAACUGAGCUGGUUAAGAAAUGCUGCUUGUCCUGUCCAAAAUAGGUGGAAUGAAAAUGAGAGCAAAGUGGGUGCUAGACACUUUAUUUUUCCAUAUUUGCUCUGUUACUGCUAACCAUGAAUUCACAUGCUAUUAGAUGUAUUGGAAAAAAAACACUUUUCAAUCUUGGGAAGUUCACAGGAACACCAUUCAUUAAGUUGGUUGAGGAAGUCAGAAAGUUGGAGAACAUUUUGCACACCAGCUCUCAGUUAAAUAGGAUCAAAGUUUUAUGUAAGAAGACUGUAUAAACAAUGUAAAUAUGCUUUACAUAACAAUCUCAACUCAAGGUCCACUUUCUACACUUACUAACUUCUUCUGGAGCUUUAAAACUUGGUCAUAAGCAAUUCAGGUUUUCUCAUUUACUGUGGAGAUGGAUCUGUUGACAUGCAAGCUCAGUAGCUGUUAUGAUACUGUCAGUGUUAGCACAAAAGUUCAACUAAACAAUGUAGUCAGAGGCUCUGGAAAAAGCUAGUAAGUGGACCUUGAGUUGGGAUUGUGUUUUUUAAACUACUGUUGUCUAAGUCAAAAAGGAACUGUCAUGUCUCACUGUAAACAUUUUUUUUCAAGUAUUUGAUGUUAGCCUUAUUAACCAUCAACCAGUCAAACAUUUUUGGGAAAACACAUUUGCUCUCUUACUGGGAGUUAAGUGAGAACCACUUUUGUGUCUGUCUAUUAAGUAUAAAACUGAAGCCAUUAGAUAGUUAACUUAGCAUAUAGAGUGUAGUGGCAAACAGCUAGCCUGGCUCUGUCGUAAGGUAAAAAGUAACAGCAACCUGUUCCUCUAUCACCACAGAUUAUAAAUGGACUAAACAAGCAUGAUACUUGUUAAUAAGCAGGUUAAAUGAGUUUGGUUGGCAGAUUUUGUUACCUCUAGUCAGAGCCAGUCUUAACGCUUAACUGGAUGCAGCUUUAGCCUUAAAUUGAACAGACAAUCAGACAUCAGACAAUCAUUUUUUCCCUCUAACUCUUGACAAGAACAUGUUUUCCCCAAAAUGUUAAACUAUUCUCCUAAAAUGUAAUGUAAAUGUAAAUGUAAAAAAAAAAAUAUUUUCCUCCACUUUUUGUAUUAGGAAAAAUAUCACGUCACAAAAAUGAUUAGCUGUUGAUAUGGUAAUCCCCAAUGUCAGACCCUUCGAGCAGUGUGUGAACACACAAAUACACUCUUUCUCUGAACUUUGUGUUAUGGCAAUAUCAAGUAGUGUUGAGUUUACUCAGCCAAGUUAAGCCCAAAUGAGCUGUUGAUGUCGUCAUGGCUGAGUUCAUCCUCUCUGUGCUUUUGGAAGGCUCAUACUCUAGCUAGAUUAGCUCCCUAGACAAUUUUAGUGUAUUGUAUUCAGUUACUUAAAUGCUAUUUCAAUUAAUGUGCUUAAUUUUAAACAUCAGAUCCUUGUUAUUUAAUCUUUUUUCAUCAUGCAAGGUGACUUUUUGGCAACAUGACAAUUAAAUUUGAAAGGUAAUCUAAAAUACAAAGUAAUCUAAAGUAAUUUGGAAAGCACAGUCACAUGGGUUCCAGUACAGUAUAUAGCUGUAAUUGCCAAAUUGAACCAGACACUUUAUUAAAGUAGUGAUGUGGAGUCAAUUGAAAGCAGACGGGACACAUUUCAUUGCAUGCAAAGCUCAUGUUGCCAGUAAUUCUGAGAGAGACUUUCAUUAUUUCCAACACGAUUGUUCCAAGUGUUACUUCCAAGACAAUAUUACAAUCAAUCACACCCUGCAACUCACUGAAUACUUUUAUGAGCAUGAAAACUGUGUGAGCCUUUUUUGGUGAUUAAAGUCACAUGACCCCAACUAAGAGAUUGUUGAGCAGAGCCUGACGUAGUGUUUCCUAUCAUCAUAAACACAGCAUCAAAUAGUUGACUUUGUUUUGUAAAACCACUUUCACAUGUUUCCAGCUCCUCCUGCAACUAAAUGAAAACACCUGAGCUGUCCAAAAUGUCCAAUGGAGACAUUUGACCCUCUGUGUUUAUGUUCAUUUUAACUGUUAUUUUUAUAUGAGCCAUCAUUUUGCAUGCUAGACUACAAAAACAGUGAUUAUACAGGCAUAUAUCACAUGCCUGUGGUUGAUCCCUUUAUUAAAAGUAAAUACAUGAAUGAAAA